CCUACGGGUGGCAGCAGUGGGGAAUAUUGGGCAAUGGAGGCAACUCUGACCCAGCAACGCCGCGUGAGCGAUGAAGGUCUUCGGAUUGUAAAGCUCUUUAAGUGGGGACGAAGAAAGUGACUGUACCCACAGAAUAAGCCUCGGCUAACUACGUGCCAGCAGCCGCGGUAAUACGUAGGAGGCAAGCGUUAUCCGGAAUGACUGGGCGUAAAGGGUGCGUAGGUGGUUUGACAAGUUGGUAGCGUAACUCCGGGGCUCAACCUCGGAUCUACUACCAAAACUGUUGGGCUUGAGUGCAGGAGGGGUGAAUGGAAUUCCUAGUGUAGCGGUGGAAUGCGUAGAUAUUAGGAGGAACACCAGCGGCGAAGGCGAUUCACUGGACUGUAACUGACACUGAGGCACGAAAGCGUGGGGAGCAAACAGGAUUAGAUACCCCUG
rnacentral:rRNA from 1 species